CUGAGUCGUAGUCGGAGACCAAGCCAACUCCUUGGCGGUGACUUGUGCUGUAGAACUGAAUUCAUGGUCCACUAGUUUGGAACCAUUUAAGUCCUGUUUUUGGUUCUUCUCCUGAAAACUCACCAACAACACACCCCGGAGGAGAAGAUCACCUAUGGUUGGUCAUCUUCAUGUCUGUUCUCCAUGAAAGAUGUAUCAAGGGAUGACACAGAGACCUCUGGCUCUGAGCAAGACAGUGAGCCAGAGCUGCCAGGAGAUGUCAUUGAGCCCCUCCCAACUGCAUCAAGCACCAGUUAUGCUGUUCCAAAAGGACCCAAUGAAGUUUCAAGAUCCAGAGAACAGGGUCCUGUACAGCCAUGUUUGAAAACAUUUCCCAGAACUCAUGGUACUAGGAAAAGGGCUUUCAUCAUUUUCUGGUAUAAGGGCAAUUCAUAGCUUGAAUAUUCUGUAAAUCAAGAUUCAACUUAUUGUUUCGCCUGUAGGCAUUUUUCUCUGCCCAAUACACUUGAAUCUGCCUUCACAUCACAGUCAGGUUUUUGUAACUGGAAAAAGGCUCUGUUUAAUGAUUCUGGGUUUAAGCUCCAUUCAAGGGCAGAGCAUCAUAUCAAUGCUAUGUGUGCUCGGAGUCAGCAUAAAACGGCUAUUGACAGCAACUCAUCAAUGUUAGAUGUCAUAAAUGAGGACUGGAAAAAGAAAGUGGAG
rnacentral:lncRNA from 1 species